GCUGUGAUCAAUGGCAGCACAGACUAAGACUGAAGCAAUACAGAGAAGACUGGCAUGGUCCCUGUGCAAGGAUGACACACAAAGUUAGGAAGCAGUCCACAUCAAA
rnacentral:snRNA from 1 species